UCCCACACAGCCCGCUGUUCUGGUCAUCC
rnacentral:piRNA from 1 species